AUUGAACGUUGGCGGCAGGCCUAACACAUGCAAGUCGAGCGAGCGGCGGACGGGUGAGUAAUGUCUGUGAAACUUCCUUCUGGAGGGGGAUAACUCCUGGAAACGGUUGCUAAUACCGCAUACCAUCAGAUGUGCCCAGAUGGGAUUAGCGAGUCGGUGGGGUAACGGCUCACCUAGGCGACGAUCCCUAGCUGGUCUGAGAGGAUGACCAGCCACACUGGGACUGAGACACGGUCCAGACUCCUACGGGAGGCAGCAGUGGGGAAUAUUGCGCAAUGGGCGCAAGCCUGAUGGAGCAAUGCCGCGUGUGUGAAGAAGGCCUUCGGGUUGUAAAGCACUGUCAGCGGGGAGGCGGUACCUGAAGAAGAAGCACCGGCUAACUACGUGCCAGCAGCCGCGGUAAUUC
rnacentral:rRNA from 1 species